CAGCACACAGCACACACAUGGCCACGAACUCUGUAACUUUGUGCCCUACUGCUGGCUGCCUGCUCAUCACAACUGUCAACUUGUGCAUCGUUCAUUGCGUUCGUGUUCGUUGCGCUUGCGAGCGGAGACCGCACAGUGUUUGUUCCGCGUGAUAGAGAACUCGCCGAAAAUGAACUGAAAAGGUGGCGCGCGUGUGUGUGUGUGUCGUUGCUGAAGUGAAACCAUCGAAACCAAAGCCGCUUUCGUGCGAUUGCAUAUCAAUUCUACGGGGUAGACGGCAGGCGGUGGCAGUGGGCAGGCGUGGGGUGAACGGAGUACGGCCCCGUGAUUACAUUUCACUGUCGUAUGCAGUUUUGCGUUCCUAGUGCUCUGGAGGAGAAAUACAGCAGACAGACGGCAAAGAGGCAUCCAAAAUGGUGCAAGUCGAGAUUAACAAGAAGCUUCUGCCCAUGAAGGCACACUACUUCCUCUUCAAUGCAGGAACGGCUCCGGUGGUGCCUUUUAUGCCGACCCUCGUGCGGCAGCUGGGCUUCUCGACGGUGAUCGUAGGAACGAUCUACACGGUCCUACCGAUCGUGGGCAUGCUGGUGAAGCCCCUGUUCGGCAUCAUUGCCGAUCGGUUCCAGCGCCAGAAGCUGCUGUUUCUGAUCUUUCAGAUUCUAACAGCCGUCCCAUUCUUUAUGAUCAUGUUCAUACCGGCCAUCCCGCAAGACUCGACUGUCACAUUCCAUUGCCACAACGGUGCGGCCGAUCUCAAGUACUGCCCGGAGAAUGGUACCAGCAUCGAUUCGUGCCUGGUGGAAAGUAUCACCACCAACGAAACCAACGGUACACUGCUCUGCGACAUGGAGUGCCGGACGGAACCGUGGAUGUGGGACACGGUAUGCAACUACUGGAACGUAUCGAAGUACUGCGACGAGAAGAACAUUCCCACCGACCGUAUCCUAAGACUGACGGGUGUUGUACCCAACAACCACAUUAAUCUGGUCGACGAGUGUCUGUUCUUUAUGUUGCGCGAAGGCCAAAUGGACGGCAACCGGGUGCCGCUGUACUGUCCGGCCAAUGCGACCGAUUUCCGCACGAGCUGCCAGGUGCAGUGCAACAACGAGCAGGUGAUGGGCGCCAUCUCCCAUUCGAAAAUUGCCGACAGCGAAGUGACGGGACUGUACCAGUUCUGGCUGCUGUUCCUGUUUCUGAUCUUCAGCUGGGCCGGUAUGGCGGUCGUCGUGAGCGUCGGGGAUGCGAUCUGCUUUGAGAUGCUGGGCGACAAGCCACAUCUGUACGGUAAUCAGCGUCUGUGGGGUUCGAUCGGCUGGGGUACGGUUUCGCUCUUUGCCGGCUUUCUGGUGGACAAACUGUCCGAGGGAAAGCUGACGAAGGAUUACACGAUCGUGUUUUACAUGACGGUCGUGCUGAUUGCGUUCGAUAUGCUGUGUUCGUCCAAGCUGCAGCACACCCAAACACGGCUCUCAACCAACAUCCUGAAGGACGUUGGCAAAAUAUUCGUCAACUUCCGGAUCUGUGUGUUCUUCUGCUGGUGUGUGCUGAUCGGUUUCGGAACGGCCUUGAUCUGGAACUUCCUGUUCUGGCAUCUGGAGGAUCUCGCAAGCGCACAGGAAGGAUGCGGCCAUUCCACGUGGAUUAAAACGCUGGAAGGAAUAAUCAUGUCGAUACAAACGUUCGGUGGCGAACUGCCGUUCUUCUUCCUUUCCGGCUGGAUACUGAAAAAGAUUGGCCACAUCCACGCCAUGAGCUUGGUGCUGCUAGGGUUCGGUGUACGUUUCCUGCUUUACUCGCUGCUCACCGACCCCUGGUGGGUUAUACCGAUCGAGUUUAUGAACGGUAUCACCUUUGGUCUGUUCUACGCGACGAUGGCAUCCUAUGCUAGCAUCGUGGCACCACCCGGCACAGAGGCCACCAUGCAGGGACUCGUCGGAGCGGUCUUCGAGGGUGUCGGCGUGUCCCUGGGCAGUCUGUUGGCCGGCAACCUGUUCCACCGUAUCGGCGGUAGCUCGACGUUCCGUGCCUUCGGUGUUGCGGCGCUGGUACUGUUCGCGCUGCACGUUGUCGUGCAGAAGCUCACCGAUCGCUUCGGUAGCCAGGGUAAGCAACAACAGAAAAUGGAUAGCUUAGCGGACGUUAAGCUGAAGGAAAAUGGGACGCACGGGUCGGGCGGGUUAGGUGGGGAUGGUAUCGCGAACGGGCAGCUGGCCAAAACCAACUCCAUCCUGUCGGAAUCCACCGUACAGGAGGAGCUGCACGAUGGUGAGGAAAAAGGGCAGCUGCGUCACGUAGCUGCAAAGACUGCCGCCAACGGCACCAUUGCUCACCACGUCCCGGAAAAGACGUCCGCAAAUGGUAAACCAACCGAGGGGCAACUGUACGAGGUGCCAUUAAGUUAAAGCGAGUGCGUUCUUUUGUUUCUUUUGCUCCUUCUUAAAAUAUUACUUCAGUUAGGUGCUAGAAAGCUAUGUUGUAAGAUUUAAAAUCCUUCGUUUAGGAGUAACUGAAUUCCACCAUGGCGGUACAUUCUCAUUAACGAACCCCAUACUGCUCUAAAACCUCAACCAAAAUCGAAACAAAAGACUACUAAGAAACGAAAUCAUCAUUCGCCCCCAAACACCCACCAUGAUAGAUAACGUUACAAAGUGAGACCCCUCUUUGGUACUCUUGAUCAUGCUCUGCUCAUGCUGCAGAGUGCCUAUUUACGGUAUGUUUGAUAAGUUUGCAUUUUGUUUGUUUUCCGGGUUUUUGGCUCGUGCAUCUUGCCCCUAGUGCUAUGAGUUUGUCUAGACUAGAAGGACGGUGGUGUACAAUAAUAAUAAAUACGAAUGUAUUCUUCCAUCGUUCUUCACGCGCGAGUAAGUCAUUCAUUUACGACGACCCUGGCAAUACCAUACUGUAAACCACACACACACAAAAACAAUUACCUCACUGUUGUCUUAAACAAGCAAACAAAACAGAAAAUGGAACAAAAUGGCGAUCAUUUUACAGUACAAAUUGUGCAUAUUGAAAGCCAGUCACACGCUUUCGCUGCAACAAUCAACGCGUUUUGUGUGUCUGCCCGAGCUUCGAACCAUCUGCACACUAUUAUGCCAGAAACUCGUCCCGGUUACGCACCGCCGAAGGAGGCUCUGGAAAAUCUGGAGGACGAUCAACCGAUUGUGGCCGGUGGCAGCUAUCAGAAGUAGUGUUUGUGUGCGAUCCAUUCUAAUGCCUUAUUGAGCGCAUGUGUUAGUGUGUGUGAGAAGGAUCCGUUUUAAAAUUACUGACCAUUUUCUUGCAUUUAACUAUAAUUCAUCCUACAGUGGAGAUAACACAUUCCAGUGUGUGCGUGUGAUGUGUUUUUUGAGCGAACGGGUAUGUCGGGCAUUUAUUGCCGGUGACAAUUUUUUUCUUUUUUUUUUUACUAUAUUUACUACUAGAAAAAAGGUAACAGAAUAAACGUAAUUAUAAAGGAAGUGAA